UACGUAGGGUGCGAGCGUUAAUCGGAAUUACUGGGCGUAAAGUGUGCGCAGGUGGCUUCGCAAGUCGAGUGUGAAAUCCCCGGGCUUAACCUGGGAAUUGCGAUGGAGACUGCAAGGCUAGAAUCUGGCAGAGGGGGGUAGAAUUCCACGUGUAGCAGUGAAAUGCGUAGAUAUGUGGAGGAACACCGAUGGCGAAGGCAGCCCCCUGGGUCAAGAUUGACGCUCAUGCACGAAAGCGUGGGGAGCAAACAGG
rnacentral:rRNA from 1 species